rnacentral:rRNA from 1 species
GACGAACGCUGGCGGCGUGCUUAACACAUGCAAGUCAAGGGGGCCCAGCAAUGGGCAACCGGCGAACGGGUGCGUAACACGUGAGCAACCUACCGAAAUGUGGGGGAUAGCCGGCCUAACGGCCGAGUAAUACCGCAUACGCUUUCCGAGAGGCAUUUCUUGGAAAGGAAACCUACGGGACAUUUCGAGGGGCUCGCGGCCUAUCAGCUAGUUGGCGAGGUAACGGCUCACCAAGGCAACGACGGGUAGCUGGUCUGAGAGGAUGGCCAGCCACAUUGGGACUGAGAUACGGCCCAGACUCCUACGGGGGGCUGCAGUAACGAAUCUUCCGCAAUGCACGAAAGUGUGACGGAGCGACGCCGCGUGUAGGAUGAAGCCCUUC